rnacentral:rRNA from 1 species
CUCGUAGGCGGCUUGGCAAGUCGAUCGUGAAAGCCCGGGGCUUAACCCCGGGACGCCGGUCGAUACUGCCAUGGCUUGGGUCCGGUAGAGGAGAAUGGAAUUCCCGGUGUAGCGGUGAAAUGCGCAGAUAUCGGGAGGAACACCAGUAGCGAAGGCGGUUCUCUGGGCCGGUACCGACGCUGAGGAGCGAAAGCGUGGGGAGCAAACAGGAUUAGAUACCCUGGUAGUCC